rnacentral:tRNA from 1 species
UCCCUGGAGGUCUAGUGGUUAGGCCUUGGCGCUCUCACCGCUGUGUCCUGGGUUCGAUUCCCUGCCAGAGAA